AUGGAGGAAGCCACGGCACCAUCUUUGUCUGAAUCAUGUAGAAUGCCUUUAUCACAGUUGGCCAAAAAACAUCUAUUUGAACCUGAUACUAGUGAGAUAGCCAAUCCAGUGAUUACGAAGUUAGGCGUACCACACGGCCAUCCUGAGCUUGAACCACGUGGAUGGACGGCAGGGCCAUCUUUCUCAGCUCGUUGUUAUCAACCUCCCUCACCGGGGCCUAGACUUGAUGAAGCUUCAACCCUUGGUACACAUAUGAUAUCCAAAGGUUUAGGCUGGGAGAAUCAUGAGGUUGAGUAUGCCCCAAUGCCUCUUGGAUAUAUUGAAUGGGGUAUUAAUGUCUUGAAGAGAUAUCAUACCCACCUAAAGGGGAGUGAAGAAGGUGUGGACUACGUCUAUGGAGCCAUUUAUUGCUCUUUAGGCGACUAUUCUGUCUCCCCUUCUCUUUUAAGGUCUUUAUUGGAGAAAUGGGACCCCAACACCAACAUGUUUUUGUUCUCGUGUGGCGAGCGUACAGUCACACUUCUUGAUAUGCAUCAGAUUGCGGGUUGCCCCUUGAUGGUGAACCUUAUGAAGAAUAUGUUCCCCUAG
rnacentral:rRNA from 1 species